rnacentral:rRNA from 1 species
AUACGGAGGAUCCGAGCGUUAUCCGGAUUUAUUGGGUUUAAAGGGUGCGCAGGCGGGAGAUUAAGUCGGCGGUGAAAUUUUUCAGCUCAACCGUAAAAGUGCCUUCGAAACUUGUUUCCUUUAGUUUAGAUGAAGUAGGCGGAAUUUGUGGUGUAGCCGUGAAAUGCAUAGAUAUCACGAGGAACUCCGAUUGCGCAGGCAGCUUACUAAACUACUACUGACGCUCAGGCACGAAGGCGUGGGGAUCAAACAGGAUUAGAUACCCUGGUAGUCCACGCAGUAAACGAUGAUUACUAGCUGUUUGCGAUACAAUGUAAGCGGCUGAGCGAAAGCGUUAAGUAAUCCACCUGGGGAGUACGUUCGCAAGAAUGAAACUCAAAGGAAUUGACGGGG